rnacentral:tRNA from 1 species
GUCCGGUGCGGUUGGCGCCGUGGGCCGCCGGGGCCAGCCCGACGACCAGCACCCGGGCGUCCUCGGGUCCGAAGCCCGGCACCGGGCG